AUUGAUCUUGUAUUGGUUUAAGUCUUUUGCAUGAUUUAGGAAACAACCUAUCCUUAAUGCAAAGCCAUUCACUUGAUCAAUUGAUCAAGAUGAAUUAGAUUUGAAUCAAGGAAGAUUAAAUCUCCCUAAUCCAUGCCAACUUAUCAACUUUCAACUCAUUGAUCAAAGAGAAAGAAGAAGAAGAAGAAGGAGAUGAAGAAUGGAUAAGGAAAAUGGAAAGAUCAAAGAUGCAUAAAAUGAAAUAAG
rnacentral:lncRNA from 1 species